AUUGAACGCUGGCGGCAGGCUUAACACAUGCAAGUCGAGCGGAGAUGAGGUGCUUGCACCUUAUCUUAGCGGCGGACGGGUGAGUAAUGCUUAGGAAUCUGCCUAUUAGUGGGGGACAACAUUCCGAAAGGAAUGCUAAUACCGCAUACGUCCUACGGGAGAAAGCAGGGGAUCUUCGGACCUUGCGCUAAUAGAUGAGCCUAAGUCGGAUUAGCUAGUUGGUGGGGUAAAGGCCUACCAAGGCGACGAUCUGUAGCGGGUCUGAGAGGAUGAUCCGCCACACUGGGACUGAGACACGGCCCAGACUCCUACGGGAGGCAGCAGUGGGGAAUAUUGGACAAUGGGGGAAACCCUGAUCCAGCCAUGCCGCGUGGGUGAAGAAGGCCUUAUGGUUGUAAAGCACUUUAAGCGAGGAGAGGCUACUGAGACUAAUACUCUUGGAUAGUGGACGUUACUCGCUGAAUAAGCACCGGCUAACUCUGUGCCAGCCGCCGCGGUAA
rnacentral:rRNA from 1 species